UACGUAGGGUGCGAGCGUUAAUCGGAAUUACUGGGCGUAAAGCGUGCGCAGGCGGUUUUGUAAGCCAGAUGUGAAAUCCCCGGGCUUAACCUGGGAAUGGCAUUUGGGACUGCAAGGCUGGAGUGCGGCAGAGGAGACUGGAAUUCUUGGUGUAGCAGUGAAAUGCGUAGAUAUCAGGAGGAAUACCGAUGGCGAAGGCAGGUCUCUGGGCUGACACUGACGCUCAUGCACGAAAGCGUGGGGAGCAAACAGG
rnacentral:rRNA from 1 species